rnacentral:rRNA from 1 species
AGAUUGAACGCUGGCGGAAUGCUUUACACAUGCAAGUCGAACGGCAGCACGGGGGGCAACCCUGGUGGCGAGUGGCGAACGGGUGAGUAAUACAUCGGAACGUGCCCAGUCGUGGGGGAUAACUACGCGAAAGCGUAGCUAAUACCGCAUACGAACUCUGGUUGAAAGCGGGGGAUCGCAAGACCUCGCGCGAUUGGAGCGGCCGAUGGGCAGAUUAGGGUAGUUGGUGGGGUAAAGGCUCACCAAGCCGACGAUCUGUAGCUGGUCUGAGAGGACGACCAGCCACACUGGGACUGAGACACGGCCCAGACUCCUACGGGAGGCAGCAGUGGGAAUUUGGACAAUGGGCGCAAGCCUGAUCCAGCCAUUCGCGUGCAGGAUGAAGGCCCUCGGUUGUAAACUGCUUUUGUACGGAACGAACGCGCUGAGUUAAUACCUCGGCGUAAUGACGUACCGUAAGAAUAAGCACCGCUAACUACGUGCCAGCAGCCGCGGUAAU